AUGUUCGCCGCGUUGGUUAACGUUUUUGCCCAGGAGGAGGAUGUAGUCUCUCCGUCAAAGGGAGUAAAACUUAGCAAAAGACUGGCUCGAAGAAGUGUCGCCCCUGCGAAAACUAAAACCUACCUAUCAACUAGCCGGAGCCCAGGCACCACGAACCCCCUCCCCGCCACCGGCCGCCAGAGCGGCAGACGGAGGGGGCGAAUCCACAGGCUCGCCGGAGAUGGAGGGGAGGAAGAUUUUCCCUACUUUGCCUUGGGUGCGUGCCCCCCGCACCUGCAUGCAGCCUCCCCACCGCACCACAGCACCGCCUCUACCAAUGUCGUGCGCCAUCGCCACCUCACCCGUCAUCCCCCAUGUGGUCUCCACCGCCCCCGCUCGGUCCUCCACUCCCUUCCCUUCCCAGAUGUCCGCCCUAACUCCUUAUUGCUCAAGCCCCCAAGCAGCCCACGGCCGGAUCCUCCUUGGCCAGCGAGUCGGAGGGGACGAAACCCUGGAUCCAGCAUCAGCCGAUGCACCUCACCGUGUCCACGUUUCUGCCGGCGACCGGAGGAGAUGAGCCCGCAAGGGAGCAAGUGGUAUAGAGGGCAGGCCUGGCGCAGUGGUGAAGUCCUCCCCACUCGUGCCAAGAGGUCCUGGCAAAUUUGUUUGUCAUAUGAUGAUCCUCAUGUCCAUUCAGUAGUCACUGAUGGCUGGAGUGGUGCGCCUAUGGAACGACUGGGGGGUCCAAAUCCUAGUGCUUGCGAGCUUCAUGCUGCAAGUGUCCUGCUCAUGUUCGCUAGGAUGCGACGGCGGAACAUCUCCAUCGUCCCAAGGACCCUCCUCUGGCUAGCAUACCUGCUGGUAGACUACAUAGCCGUAUACAUCCUUGGCCACAUGACCUUUUUUGGAAAGUCCCAUGGGCACCAACAGCUCAUGGUGUUCUGGGCGCCGUUCUUGCUGGUGCAUCUUGGUGGCCAGGACAAUAUAACCGCCUACUCCAUAGAAGACAACCAGCUCUGGCUACGCCACCUGCUCUCAUUUGUUGUGCAGACACUGGGAGUGGCCUAUGUCCUAUACAAGUAUGUCGCUGGCAGCUGGACCAUGGUCACAGCAGCGGCGAUGAUAUUUGUCAGUGGUGUUCUCAAGUAUGGGGAGAGAGGCCAAGGGGAGAAGUUGGAUCUUGAAGAGGUUCUACAGGGAGCUCAUGACCUGCUCCCCAUUUGCACGGCUCAGUUGGUGGACUAUAAGUUCUGGCCAUCCACAUUGCAGAGUCAAGCCAUAGAGCUAUUCACUAACAAGGGUCAAAUGUUCGAGUUGGUUGAGAUGCAGCUCUCCUUGAUGUAUGAUUUCCUAUAUACCAAGGAGAUGGCAUCGGGUUCACAAGAUAGUUCUAUGUAUCCGACGGUGUGUCCGGCGCAAGCAACAGCAUGGAGGCAUAGCCGUGAAAAUCUCGUUCAAGGGCCUGACUCGCUCCAGGAGGCACCACCAGCAGCGGAGUCCGUAACAUCCGCUGCAUGUGUCCCCAGCAGCGCCGCCGCGCCUCAUCCCAAGGAGCGCCCAGUGCAUAUCGGCCACAAGGACCUAGGCCGCCGCUGCUCCAGUCUCUAUGCCGCUGCAUCACGAGGCCCGACGUCCCCCGCGUCGACCCAACCCGAGGUCGGCGAUAGAGAAGUACGGCGAGCGGAUUACCCGGCUGCUGCUUCUACCGCCGCUGGCGAGCUGCUGCAACCUAAGGGGAAGAGAGGGAGGGAAGAAGGAACCUGCCAGCGUUGUGGCGGCGCCGUCGGUCUCCGGUCACAGCUGGUGGAGGUGGUGGCCGCGGGCGGUGAUGAUACUAAGAAGUUGGUGUUGGAAGAGAUAGAUAGAAUGGUGGUGGCAUGUAAAGGCAAUGAGGAGAUGAGGAGGAGUUACAGUGUGUCGCCUCUAGGGGAAGACCCUGUUCGGCCCGGAUUGUAUGCCAAUACUGAAGCAGCAUAUGUGGUGGGGCUUGAUCUUCCUGGCGUGGAACGCAUCAGCGGAAGGUGGGAGCUGGACAGAAAAAGAAGAUUAUGGGAUCUACACACAAGAAGAGACGGGGACGAGUUGUACAAAGGAGCACGAGAUAAGUUGGACAUAAUAAGGGAGGGUAUGGACAUAACAAGGGAGGAGCAGGUGGGCAAUAGAUGGCUGGCCAAUAGAUGCAAGGAGUUGGACGAAAAAAGGGAGGAGCUGGAGAAAGAAGUUCUGAGGCAAGGAAGAACGUGGAGGAGCUGA
rnacentral:rRNA from 1 species